rnacentral:tRNA from 1 species
GUGAAUGUCGUCCAAUGGGUUGGGCUGUCUGUCGUAAAGGACGUUAAAUAUACGCGGGUUCGAUUCCCAUCAUUCACA